rnacentral:rRNA from 1 species
GUGCCAGCACGCCGCGGUAAUACGGAGGGUGCAAGCGUUACUCGGAAUCACUGGGCGUAAAGGGCGCGUAGGCGGAUUAUCAAGUCUCUUGUGAAAUCUAAUGGCUUAACCAUUAAACUGCUUGGGAAACUGAUAGUCUAGAGUGAGGGAGAGGCAGAUGGAAUUGGUGGUGUAGGGGUAAAAUCCGUAGAUAUCACCAAGAAUACCCAUUGCGAAGGCGAUCUGCUGGAACUCAACUGACGCUAAAGCGC